rnacentral:rRNA from 1 species
AUACGGAGGAUGCAAGCGUUAUCCGGAUUUAUUGGGUUUAAAGGGUGCGUAGGCGGUUUGCUAAGCGGGAGGUGAAAUGCCGGCGCUCAACGUCGGAAGUGCCUCCCGAACUGGUGGACUGGAAUGACUCUGCCGUGGGAGGAAUGUGUAGUGUAGCGGUGAAAUGCUUAGAGAUUACACAGAACACCGAUUGCGAAGGCAUCUCACGAAGGGUUGAUUGACGCUGAGGCACGAAAGCGUGGGGAUCAAACAGGAUUAGAUACCCUGGUAGUCCACGCAGUAAACGAUGAUGGCUAACCGCUGGUUUAUUCGGAUCAGUGGCCAAGCGAAAGCGAUAAGCCAUCCACCUGGGGAGUACGACCGCAAGGUUGA